GUGGGGAAUAUUGGACAAUGGGCGAAAGCCUGAUCCAGCCAUGCCGCGUGUGUGAAGAAGGUCUUCGGAUUGUAAAGCACUUUAAGUUGGGAGGAAGGGCAGUAAGUUAAUACCUUGCUGUUUUGACGUUACCGACAGAAUAAGCACCGGCUAACUUCGUGCCAGCAGCCGCGGUAAUACGAAGGGUGCAAGCGUUAAUCGGAAUUACUGGGCGUAAAGCGCGCGUAGGUGGUUUUGUAAGUUGGAGGUGAAAUCCCCGGGCUCAACCUGGGAACUGCCUCCAAAACUGCAUGACUAGAGUACGGUAGAGGGUAGUGGAAUUUCCUGUGUAGCGGUGAAAUGCGUAGAUAUAGGAAGGAACACCAGUGGCGAAGGCGACUACCUGGACUGAUACUGACACUGAGGUGCGAAAGCGUGGGGAGCAAACAGGAUUAGAUACCCCGGAGUCC
rnacentral:rRNA from 1 species